CAGUUUUACGAGCCUCUCUCUCUCUCUCUCUCUCUCUCUCCCUCUCUUUCUCUCUCUUUAUGGAAUUUUCGCGCGCUCUCUUAUCGUACGGCUUCAAGGUUCUGGAUGUCGCAAAACAAGAUUCUUAUUAACGCCGCGGAGUCAAUUAUCGUAACAAUAGCUCAUAAUUAGGGUCACACAAAGCACGGGAAAGAUUAUGUAUAAUCGUUCACAUAACGAUAAGCAAUCUCCCUUCCCUCCCCCCUCCCCUCUCUCUCUCUCUGUAUCUGUCUCGGCUACAGAUCGGCAAACGAAGCGACCGUAAUUAUAACACACUUAAGUACUUAACUGCGGAGUAACGGGGAGAAAGAAGCGAGCGAGGAGAAGCUCAAAGAGCGUAAAGUAAGUAAAUAAGUACAGUCGCCGAAGUUUGUGUCGCUUCAACCGGGGGCUGGGGAUUACUGGGUUCCGGUUACCCCGAACUCGGUUAUCGUGAGCUGAAAAGAUGCGAGAAACCAACUCGCCGCGCGCGCCGUGUCGCGCGACUUCGAGAGGAGAGAAAAAGCGAGAAUGGUGGCCGACAGUGUCGUUGCAGAUGACGUCGAACCACGAUGCACUCCGGUCGGAUGGUUAUUUCAUGCUAGUAGCGAUAACAUUUUCCUAGCAUUUAGUUAAUGGACGAACACUCUUUUUCUCUCUCUCUCUCUCUCUCUCUCUCUCUUUCUCCCUCUGUCCUUCUCCCUCGCUCGCACGUGACGCUGCGCACGUGCACGAGUCGCGCUUGGCUGUAGCGACAUUAAAACACCGGCGCGGAAAAGCGCGACGGUCCUUAUUAUUGCGCGAGCAAAAGCGAGUUUUCGCCUAUCGCGACUCAUGCGUGUGUAUACAUGUGUUACGGGCGAUAUCGAGAGACGUGCGAGCUAUUCGAGUACGAAUCGAAUCGAUUCGGGAAAAGGAUGAGUCGAAUCUAAAUUCAAAUUCCAGCCAUUAACUUUCCAAGAAAUCCGAAUAGAAACACACGUAUCGCCAUCUUAUAAAUAUCAUAUAUUUAAAAUCCUUUUUUAAAUAAUAUAAUAUAUAUUAUUUUCCUCGCGAUAUAGAAAUCCUUUUGUUAUUACAUUAAUACUCAAUUUAAUAAUAAUUAUGUUAUUAUUGCAAAUCAUACAUCAAUGAUUCGAUUCAAAUUCAAAUUAAAUCGAUUCGAUUCCAAGAAAAUGUAUUAUGUGAAUAUGUAUUAUGAAACCCCACGUAUUAUGGAAGUUUUCGGAGUGGAUUUCGAUCGAAAUUAUUCAAUUAUUUCUUAUUAGAUUUAUAUAUUGCGUUUUCUAAUGGAAUAAUUCCGGUUGGAAUCCUGAACGGUUUCACAAUACGUGCCCUGUUCGGACUGAAUUCCAAUAGGAAUUAUCCCAUUCUUUCCUAGAAAGCAUAACAGAAAUCUAAGAAAUAAUUGAAUAAUUCCGAUCGGAAUUCAUUCCAUCUCCUAAUUCGUCCUGACGUUUCUCGUUCGUGCGAAACACCUUUUGCAGCCGAUUGAAACGUUCAUCGCUUUAUUAACGAUAACAAUUAAAUAGCUCGCGCACUUUCAAGCACCAAAGUCGCACGUUAGUGAAUAAUUUGUAAACAAAGUCGAUGAUAAAUAAAUUUUUUUAAUCGACCGGAUACCGAAAGAAAAUGACUCUCAAUGAGUUCGAAAUCUUUAUUGGUUACGUUAGGUGUAAUAAAUAUACACGACACGAAACGAUGCAUCAUGAGUCAGCUCGUGCAGCACACAGGUGACAUUUUCUAACUAGGAAAGACACCAGCACGUCGCAUCGAUUCGCGACGCGGAGCACGUCUAUCGCUAACCCGCGCCAUUCCGCGAUAAUAAAGCAUUAUUUAUCGCGAGAGACCGCGGAGACGGUUCUCGGAGCCGCCGCGAUGUGUCACAAUAAAUUUCGAGGAAACUUUCGUCGCGCGCGUUUUUUUUUUUUUUUUUUUUUUUUUUUACGCCAAACAUUCGUUCCACCUCGAGGUUCGCGAUCGCAGUUUGCGAGCUUUGCAUAGCAGUUUUGCACGCUAACGACCCGGGACGACUACGUCUGCGACGUCGUUUCCUAUAUAAAGAGCCGAUAGCACAAAAUUGCAAGCUAGGGGCUCUAUCAUCGCAAACUAGAGCUAUUUCGCAAGAUUUCGCAGCGCAAAACGCGCUACACUGUAAUCUAACAGUUGCGUCAAGUCGCAGGCAUAAGUCGCACAAAUCACGAGCGCGCGCGCGACGUAAAAUCACGGCCAAUUAAUAGCACGGGGACCCCGAGGUAUUUCAUCGUUGGCAGAAAAUUACUGAGAAGCCGCAAGAACUAUUGGAUGGAUAUAUUCCGAUAACCGGUUGCGAUAUCGCGCUGAAAUAAAUCGCGCGACGCGCUCGAAUGUCCAUAGUCCGCUUCCGGACUCGGCUCGUGCCCGUGGAAGCCUCGCUAUAAUGUCGAGGUCAAUUAUACUCUUUCUUUCUUUCUUCACGACCUCCAGACACAUAGAUAGACAGGAGGCGGACGUAAUAGAGGUUAACUUUACUUCUCAAUUAACGCUUAAUACACAUCUUAGGAUAUUUGCGUCCCUAGCAUUUUUCCUCUUUGAAAUACUAGGAACACCUGGAUAAACGGACAAUGGUUUCUCUAUACUCUCCCUUGACAAAAAAUUUGGUAUUUAAGAGACUGGCCUAGUGCGUUGGCGGGUUUAAUUUGUGCGUAUAUAUAUAUUCUACAUCCAAUACAUAUUCUACGUCCAGGCCUCAAAAAAUCACCCUAGAAUUCAACUGACCUAAGAUGUCUCGCGUAUAAAUUGAAUAUUUUGUAUACAACUAUGAAACCUAUAUUUGCUUUAUUUUCAAUCAGAAAUCUUGUUCAUAUAGCAAGGAUUUCACAAACUAUUAAAAUAAAUAAAAUUUUUUAACAAUAAUUUUAAAUUUAAAUGCUAAAAAGACAUUGCUAUUAUAUUUACACUUGAUUUUUUAGAGAAUAUUGAAAAAUGUUUUCUGUUGUUAGUUUUAAGCUUUUGCAACUUUAUAAAUAAAAAAAUUGUUUUAAAUGUAAAUGCAAUAUAACUUUAAUUUAUACACACUUACCUAUAUUAAAAAAGUUCAUAUUCAGAUUAAUAAAUAAGUUCAUUUUCUUAGACAUUAGAAUUUUCAUUUUCGUAGUUUAAAAUGUCUAUUUUAAAAUAUAAAAGUAUUUUUUCUUAAGUAAUUUUUUAAUCAUGAAUUUUUAUAUAAAAAUGUAUAUUUCUCUGAUCAACAAUAACUAAUUAUAAAACGUUUAUACAAUUUUUUUAAUUCAAAUGCCCUGCUUUAGAGAUGUUAAAGUAUAUGUACACUGAGAAAAAAAAAUUGUUAAUUUGACUAUCUUUCAACUAAAUUAAAUUUAUUUAAGUAAUAUAUAUACACGUUUCGUGUCGUUCACAAAACGAAGGUGUUCACCAAGUGUUAGUUAACUGCUCGCGAACUCACGCGACUCGGACGGAGAUCUCGGAGAUAGAAACCGUUCAUUCUCAAUGACACAGGUUGAAAUCGAUACGCGUUAACAUCGAUGGCUCGCGCGAUUCGGAAUGGUAGGAGAUGAAUAAAUAAAGACACAUAUUAUGAUGUCCGUGAACAUAACCCCUCUCUAUCGUGUUUUCGUUUGUAAUCAAAUGAAACUUUGUUCCCCCUCCCCUUCUCUACCCCUCCCUCUCCCUCGCACAGCUAUUGCAGCUGAGUUUUCGCUCUCACGGUCAUACGAGAGGUAUCACGCAGAUUCGCGCGGCAUUUAUCAUUAAUAUGAUUAAUUAGUCGAGUUUAAUCGGGAAUACGGGAAAUAAAAAUAACAGAAAUAUAUAUAUUGUCAAAAUGAAUUUUUGCCCCGUGUUUUAUUUUCGUUGGCGACAAACUCCAUUAAUAAUUUUGCGACAAACUGAAUUUGCGGGCAGUUAUCGGGUGAUUAAUCGAUCGGCGCGAAGCUACGUAUGUUUUUUUUCCCCCCCGCCCGUUAAUGGUAUUAAAACCGAACUAAUUGCAGUUGACAUUCUACUUGGAGGUGAUGCAAGAAAUAAAAGCGGCCGUUCCAUUUGCACGUCUAGCACGAGUAAAGGGAACAUAAGAACGUGAAAGAUUAAUGGAAAGCUAUAAAUCACGGCGGUACAAGCUACCGAUUCCGAGUCAUUGAAACUUUUAUGGAUGGGCAGACCACAAUUAAAUCGAUAACGUUAAUGCUCAUUACAUAGAAACCCAACCCAGAAACGCGAUAUAGAGCGUUUUAUAAAUAUUUCAAUCUGCUCCGAAUGUGUAACGACGUGUCACCUUGCGCCCAUCGAUCGCCAAUGGGUUGGGUCAUAUUGUUUUCUAUUAAAUAAACAAUAUUAUUGGCGAGUAUAAUCGCCCGCCGAUUAGCAGCGUGAUUAUUACAACAUAACUUGACGCGCGGCAACAAAUUCAGACGGAAGGAAUCGAACCGGACGGUCGAAGCUUUUUAGUUUUUCAACUCGCUCGCGUACAGCGUACCGUUAACUCCGCCAUAUACGUACGUAUGUGGAUUCAAUAUAAACACAAAUGUCUAUUUUCUAUAUAAAAUGUGGCAAGAAUGCGAUACGGCCGCCGGCGGGUAAACAACGUCAAACCCGUUCGCUGUAAUCGACACGAGAAUGGCAGAAUUAACACGCGCAAAAAUCGACGCGGGUCGUUCGUUCCGGGUCCGGCCGGCGAAGCUUCCAUUUGCGUUUUCCGAAUAUUCCAUUUGACGAGCUCAUCCAUUUUUGCCUAUCCGGCCGGUGCGUCCUCUCCUCGCGACUAAUGUCACGUCGCCAACACAAGCCGACACCGCGAUUUCACGAUGGGUAUUCGGAUCACUGAACUUACAGGCAUUCAGCGCGAAUGAACGAAUAAUAAACGCGGAUAAACGUGGAUUCGCGCGGUGGACGAAGGAGAGAGAGAGAGAGAGAGAGAGAGAGAAUAGAGCGCCCAAGUUCGAUUCGUCCGAGGGAGAGAAAAACCGUCGGGGCCUAAACCGCCGUUAAAUCGCUCUCUUCGUUUGCAACACCUCUACCUGCCCCUCGAAUGAAAUCGCGUCUAUUGUGCGAGACCCGCGCGAGAAGGACGGGUAUAAGGGAGAGAAGGGCAAAGAACAACCCUUCUUCUUCUUCUUCUUCUUCGUGGCUGCGUCGUUGCAACCCCUCGUGAGACGUGCCGCGCGAGGAAUAUCGGCGCCGAGUCGCGUUUUUUUUUCGCCGCUCUCUCGCCAAUCGAUAUUUCCGGUUAGAAUAAUUGCGACGCUACUCUCGAGCUGCCAAAGCCAGGAUCAAUACUCGUAGAGUAUGUAGGUACAGGACAGGCAUUUCACACGUUACCCUUAUUCACACGUUCGGAAAUAUAAUUUGCAAGAUUUGUCACGACGGUGAAUUGCAGCAAAUAAAGGUUCAAUUGUCGACAACGUGGCCCUCGAACAAGGGAUUCGACAAGGGUAUCCCUGCACCAAAAUUAAAAAAAAAAAAAAAGGAAGAUUGCACCGCGAAGCGUCGGAAUGUAUGCGAGAACGCUGAGCCGUUUUAUCAUCGUUUCCACAGCAGGAUUCGUUCCCCAGGAUCCGCAUCCGCGGUCACGUUAUUCCUCCCGUGGCUAAGACGCAUAGCGCUGCCGAGGAUUAAUGUCAUAGAGAAAUCUCGAGCGGCACUCGGCUCCGGGGAGUGGAUGCCAGAGAGGCGAAUACGAAAAACACCCGUACAUCCUCGGUGCAUUCUAUGUUUACGGGCUGUUAACUGCGUGCGACUGUCUCGAGUUACAUCAAUAAACACGUACAUAGAUGCGCGCGCACGUGCAAGCGCGGAGCGGAGAGGAGGAAACAAGAGGACGCGCGAGAGCCGCCGGGAGGGAGGAAGGGGAGAAGAGCCGGACGCAGGGAGGGGGGGGGGGCGAAAUAGAGAGACCAUUUAUUAUUAUUCACCCGGCUCGUCUUACAUCAAUAAAUAUUUAUCGACGUCCGGGCGCAUGCGCGUCUCAUGUGAGCGAGAUGCGCAACUAGGCGCAUUAGCAUAAUCGUCGAGGCGGAUACGAGACGAACAACCGAAGCUUAAUCCCCCCCUUCUCCUCCCCUAGAAAUGAGAGGUCUAUUUAAAAAUUUAUAAAAUCCAAGUUGCAGAAACUAUCGACAAAUCCCGUGAAAAAGUCGAUCAACUUUUUUAUUAAUGCUUAUUUUAAAAAAAUUCUUGGCUAUACACUAAAGAAAAGAGAUUAUUAAUAGCUAUUAAAGUGAAACUGCCAAUUAAAUAUUUGAAUUGGUUAAUACACUGAAAAGAAUGCUUGAUUCAAAUAAAUAUACUUAUUUGAAUAAUUAUAAUUAUAAUAUUUCAUAGAAAAUAGAAAAAAAAUGUUUAUUUAAAACAAGUAACUUUCUAUAAUUUAGAAAAUAUUACUUAUUUGAAAUAAAUAUUAUUAUAUUAUAUUAGUAUUAUUCAAAUAAAUAUGUAUUUGAAUCAAGCAUCCAUUUUCUGUAGUGUAUAUAAAAUACUUUUGUCCUUCUUAAUAUUUAAUAAGUAUUGCCACGUACAACAAUAAAACCAAUCGUCUUUCAUAAUAUUUACUAAAUAUUUAAAAGAGAAAAUUAUGGUUAUAUUAAACGAAUAUUUAAUUGGCAUUAUUUCAAUAUAAUCAUAUUAAUUUUUUUUUCGAUUUUUGAUCUUUGAUCUUAUUCCUUCACAAGAGAGAGAGAGAGAGGGGGGGAGGGGGAGAGAGAGAGAGAGAGGAAGAGAGAGAAUCUUCCCUUAUUUCGCGGUAUCCGCACGAAACCUCGGCGCAAGAGACUAAUUGGAUUUCGCUCCCUCGACACGCUAAUGACCGUAUUCCAUUUCCGCGGCUCGAGGUAGUCGGCACGAUGCAUCUCCUCGCACGAUCUUCCGGCGGUCGGUCGCGCCGGCGGCAUUCGAGCGAAAAUCGCAUUACCGCCGCGGUCGAAAGAGUUCCGUUCCCGCGAGUGCUUAGCGCAAAUAUCGGGAAACGAAAGACGGAAAGAGAAAAACACUGGGGCGCGCGCCGAGUGGAUUCGAGGUAUUCCGUCUCGCUUUCGUAAUCCCGCUAUACCUCGAGAUACGAUUGAAUCUACCGCCUGCGUUAUAAAUUUGAUAUACGACGAACGAUAAGUCGUGGUGAAUAAAUAGGCUAGCUGUAACACGUAAAGAUAAUGUACGACGCGUUCGUGAUUAUAUCUCAACUGAAACUUCGGCCCCUGUGAUUCAACGAUAAAUUCACAAUUUAAUUUGUAUUCGAGAUUUAUAUUACAAGAUUUAUAUUACCACGUAUUCAUCCCAUAAAUACUUUUUCUGCACAAAUCAACAAAAAGAAAAAAACAGCUUUCACACACUUCAAUGAGUAAAAAUGCGCGUAAUUAGAUCUCGGAAAGUAGAUUUUCGGCAAGGCGUGUACUCGAGAUGAAUCGUCACCCUGUGCUUCCGCUUAUAUAUUUAGCGUUUCACGGUUUUAUUCUGCAAGUUUGUACGUGACGUUUUUUUUUCUUUUCCAGAAACGGUAAACAACAGGUGCACGGCAUAUAAUGCGCGCGGCAACGCAUUACUUUCUUCUACAGCUCCCCGAACAGUGCUCCGUUGUACGCCGGUACAUCAAUCGCACAGAUGCACUCCAAUCGCCUCGCACAUGCACAUCGUUCUUCCGGCAGCAUCGAUUUCGCGGAGUGUCGAGAAUGUUACCGACAUCGCGAUCCCCACGCAGUCGACCCGAGGUGCACGAGCGACGUUACCGUCCGCCAAUCCGCGAGAUGCGGCUGCAAACACGCGGAUGCAUACGAUUCGCAUGGUGCAAUACACAAGGAUCCUGCCGUACAUUUGAAAAUUACGUCUACAUGAAGUAUUUACGUAUCGAUUUACUGUAUGUAUUUACGCGAAUCUUUUUCACGUAGACAAUAGAGACAGUGCAAAUUGCAGUGACUUGCGCGUAUUGAAGACUUAAUUUAGCUAUUAUUUUGAAAAUAGAGAAAAAUAAACUAUACCAAUAAAAAUUUUAUACUGUCUAUCGCCAUAAAAAAUUAAAAUAUUAAUUUUCUUAUAUUUAAAAAAAAACUUAAAAAAAUCGUUACAUUUUUGUCACAUAUCUUAUAAGGGUGGAAACUCAUAUGGCACAUAAUUUACAAAUAAUAUUAUACUUAUAAAAAAACGUUAAGUGAUAUAACUUAUAAAAUGUGUUUACAAAGUUUAUUAGAGAAUAAAAACGAUAAGUAUAUAUACCGAGCAAUAAUAAUGCAAUAAUAAAGAAGUUAAUAUGUGCAUGUAGUUGUAAACUACAAUACUUUAUGUGCUCCACGCAGAUAUAAGUGUUGCGUCCCAAUCAUAGAGAUUUUAUAUACUACGGCAUAAAUCCCGCUCGCAAAAAACGCCGUAUAUAUUCCGAACGAAUAGAAUAUAUGUCAAGCUGAACAAAUAAUACAAGGGCUAAGUAUUCGUAUUUUUCUAAUUCUUUGUUAUCCCUCUAUACUUAUGUAUAUGAAAUAACCAUUGACCUUUUACAUCCCCUGGAAUAACGUAUAUUUUACGUAAGUCAUAAGUCGUGAUCGCGCUACCUACUGCAUUGUGAAACCGAUUCAACUCACGAUGUUAACUUUCGUUAAUAUAAACAGUAAAGAACAGUAAAGAACUACAAUCGCGAUACAAUAUAACAAGCAUAAAGACACAUAACAGAGUCGUUGCGGGCAAGUUACUCCUAUAAUUAAAUAACAUAAUACAAGAAAAUAAUCAAGUUAUAAAAUUGUUAAUAUAUGUAUAUAACUUUGUGCAAAUAAAAAUAAAAAUAUAUAAUAUUAAAAAUAAGUGACAAAGUGCAAAAUUUUCACUAUAUCUGAGGAAAUUUGAUUCUUUAAAUAAUCCAUAGAGUAUCCGUUCAUAUAAAUGACACGUAAAGUACAAUUUACAUAAUCUACAAUGUAGAUUCUACAUCACACGCGCAUAAUGUACAUCAUUUAUAUUUUACACGUAAACGCUCUGAUGCAAUUUAUUCGUUUGCCCAACCUGGGAAAAUAAAAAAAUAUAUUCGUCUCGCGUUGUUAAACAUUCUGUACCUUUUCUCUCAAAAUUAUAUCUCAAGCAAAGAGGCUCAAACACUUCCGCAUUUAAUUUAAUUCUUCUACGUCCCAAGGUUAAAUAAAUUAACAGUCUCUUUCCCCGAGAAAAUUGCACGCAAUAUAAUUAUAACUGUGAAAUAGAUGUAAACUAUAAGCACCAUACUCCGUGCACGCGAUUACACGUAUUUUCGUCUUUCUGCAUCGAGUUAAUUUCGCGCGCGGCGCGCAAAGCCGACUUUCGGAAUUGCGCGCCUCGCAUUUAAUUAACGAGAAACGCUCGAUUGCGAAUCCAAGCUGCGCAGCGCGCUCGCGGACUUAAUGACGAUAUUAUUCGGCUUUGCUCUCGCGACGAGCGGUGUAUCGCGACGGACGAGGAGUGCAAGAUAGAGAGUGACAAAGACGGGGAGACGUGCGGCGUUGCGUGCGACCUACAUCGCUCGAAUCACCGCGCGAGUCGUUUUAUCUAUUUUUAAGUGUGGAUCUAUAUUCUUUCUCUCUAUCUCUCUCUCUCUCUCUCUCUCUCUCUCUCUCUCUCUCUCUCUCUCUCUCGACGUGUGUGCAGACCGCGAUGCGUGACGCGAGAGGAAGCGAGGCGGUUCCGCUCGGCGGAAAGCGAGGUAUUUAAAACGGAGCGUUAUUCGCGAAGAUACUCGGAACUUUAUCACGUGUUAGAGGUGUGCAAUCUGCCGAUCUUAUUAAAGGCUUUAAGGCGCGAUACGAUCGGCGCGGUUUAAGCGCGGGAACGGGGCAGCGCGUAAAAUUCCAAGGCAGCGUUGUGUGACGCGCGUGCAUGGAAUCUCCGCGUUACUAUCGCGUGUGCCGGCGGUUAAACGAAACAGAAAUAACUGUCACCACGCGAGAUAAGCGCCAGGUCGGAUGGGGUAUCGGCUGGACGCUCGAGGCGUGAGAAACGAGCGAUAUUACCUGCCGAUUCUCGGCAAGCGCGAUUGUUAACAUCGCGGGUAUGUAGCAAGAAUCGGAUUUAUAUUAGACACAGCCCGCAAAUGAAAUUAACCGGCGAAUUCGAACAUUGUGAAAUUCGAUUCGCCGUUUCAUUAAAUCGUUAAUUGCUCAAUUUAAAAAAAAAGACCAUCGGCAUUUCGAAUGUAUAAUAAUACAUUCCUCCUCGAUAUCAUUUCCCAAUUAGUCGAAGGAACGAAGAGUUAAAAAAGCGAGGGAGGGCAGCCUAUAUUUUCCACGGUCGAUCGAUAAGACCGCGAUGUAUUACACAGCCGCGAAAAUGUAAUCCUCCUAUCGGGCUGCCGCUUCGGGCUCGACGUUGCACGCGAGCGAGCGAGCGAGCGAGCGAAACGCGGUGUUUGUUUCGCGGAACGUGCGAUUGCGUCCGCGCCGGGAAAACGGACGACAACACGCGAGGGGUUUAAAAGCGCGGAAAAAAAUCACAAACGCGAUUGAACGUCGCCGCACGAGCGCGGCUGACAAAUUUUUGUUUCCCCUCUCCCCCGCCCCCCCGCGCGUAAACGCGGAACGAUCGAUAAGCGGACGCGUCGAGAGUUCGACGCCGCCGUUCGGGAACGGAGCGAAAAUCGGAUUGCGUUUCGACGUGGUACGUAUCAUCGCAUAUACGUCGCGACUCUGUCCCGGUCCGGGUGUGAGAGAGAGAGAGAGAGAGAGAGAGAGAGAGAGAGAGAGAGAGAGAGAGAGAGAGAGAGAGCCGUGAGAAAUGCUGUACGCUCUCCCGGUUCCGUGUAUUAUUGAAUACUUGGCACAGAUCGCGAUGGAGAAACGCGCCGCGCUCACUCUUCCGCGCUGUGCACUUACGUGAUCUUUGCAUGCGCCCGCCCGCAGUGACAUUUAGUUACAGGAAUGCGCGGGAGCGUCGACGCCAACACGGAAUGAUGCACCGUAAACAAUGACGCGGCGUUGAAACUCAUCUUAAUCGGCUUAUUAGUCUUCUCUGUCUCUCUCUCUCUCUCUCUCUCUUCGCUCGCCGUUUAUCAUGUCGUGUUCCUCAUAUAUGCGUUUCGCUUAAAGCUUCCCGGGGUUACCAUUAAGGCAGCGAACGCAUCGACGUUCUCUGAGAGAAGUGACGAUACGAAAAUCAAAUUAAAUCUGCUGCCUGACGGGGCUUUUCCCGCGAAACGGGACUAUUACAUUAACGUUUGGAUAAGCGUUAUCAGCACCCUUGCGAAUCUUAAACGGAAAUAAGGUCAGUAGAUAAUCAAUGAUACUGUCCGAUAAAUUUAAAUCUUUUUUUCUAGACAAAUCAGAUGAUUUUUAAUUCUUACAGAUGUUUGUCGUUGAAAACACAAGUGAAAUGGCUGUAUACAUUUUAAUUUUGUUCAUGAUGUAAAACCAAUGUAAUUAUUAUAUUAAAAUGCUGAGCGUGUUACAUUUACUAUCGAAUUGGCCCUUAAGGUAUGUCACGAGUAUUCCGUGUCCAACCAAUUUCUAACCAUAAAAGUUUUUGCAAAAUUCUAGAAAUUUUCCAUUUCUUAUUAAUUCCUUAUCAACUUUUAAAAAAAAGUUUGUAGUAAGAAAACUUUUAUGCGAUAGAACCAUCAAGGCAGUCAAUUUCUCUUUGUAAACAACUUUGAGUUUAUUUCUGAGUGACUCAUGUUUUUUCUCAACUCUCCUUUUAUUUGUGUACAGGAAAAAUUUUGUAAAAAUCCUUGUAUUUUCCUCAUAUUAUCAUUUAAAUUUUCAUUACAAGUUUAAUUAAUCUCUUUUUUAAUUAUGUUUCUCCAAAGAAAAUCGUUUAUUAAAAAAUGACUUUGUAAAGCAGAAUUACGACGUCGAAUAGUAUUAUGUGCGAAACAGGUUAACGUGGAACCUCUUGGAAAAACACUGCUUUUAUCAAAAUAUUAAAAAACAUUGUUUUUGCGAUAUUCAAUUUUUCCCAUUUAUUAAAAAUUAUUUUUAUAUGCCUAUAAAAUUAACGAAUAAUUAUAUUGCAAGGAAUUUGGCAUUCCUGUUAUUUUCCAAAGGUUUGUCAAAACUAGACAAAUCUUCAAUUAAUGUAUUUAUUAUAAAAAGUUAAAAUUUUUAAGUCAAAUAAUCAAUUCGUAAUUAGUCUUCGAUAAUUACAUCAUACAUUUUAUUUUUUUUCCAAAGUGAAGUAAUUUAUGAAAUUUAUCAAGAUUUUAAAUAGAUGAAAAACUAGCCGAUGAGAUCAAGAAGGUACCUUUAUUGUCUAUCAUACAGUACAUGUAACAGUACCGUAAAUCUUUUUCUCAAAAAUUCCGAGUAUACAUUGUUGCGCGUUGAUACCUGGAUCAAUUCUGUCAACCUGAUUUUACAUAGGGAUAAAUCCAUGGUAUACGCGCGCGACACGCGCACAGCAUCCGCCCCCGGCCCCCACCCCCCUCCCCGUGCGUCCCGGACCGGGCGACCUUGCGCUCACUCCCGCACAAAAGCGAUCCGUCUAUUGAUUACGCGCGGGAGGCGGGCACUUGCCAAUUUAUCCGUAGGCAGAAAACGCGCCAGCGCGGUGUCUCUCACCGCGUGUGUGACAAUAGAAAAGCAGGAAGCCCUCCUCUCUCUCUCUCUCUCUCUGUGUGUGUCUGUCUCUCUCUCCUGCGGAUUCCAUGCAAUCAAUGAGCUCUGGCGGUGGUGGCGCGACCAGCGCGCGGAUUAAUCCGGCUUUACGACGUAUUUUUUUCGUUCCGGCUCUCUAUUCCGCCCUCGCCCCGCGUACCCCGCGCGCGGCUCCCCCUUCGUUCCGAGCAAGCCGAUAUCCCCGGCCUCGUCGUCGUCUCUCCCAUUCUUUUUCUCUCUUCCUUUUUCCUCGGUCCUUUUUUAUCCUCUCCCUUUCCGCUUUCACGUGGGGGCCUCACCCGGCAUCAAAAUACUGCAGAGAGCGCAUUAAGAGGCAAAGUCGGUCCGCCGCGCCAAUUACAUUCGAGACGAUCGUAGUUUUCCCUUCCCGACUUCAGCGGCGGCGGCCGAAUGAAUUCCACGAGAUUUAACCGACUCAGGGCGAUCCGACAUUACUUUCACCAUUCCUUACAUGUGUCGUCGAGGGAAUAAAGAAUUAUUAUUUUAUUCGAAAAAAAAACCCGGUGUCGCUCAAAAUGACGGUCGAAAUAGUCGCUGGAAGCGACUUCAUUCUUUUUGUGUGUGUGUGUGUGUGUGUGCGUGUGUGUGCGCGCGCGCGUGGAUCUAUUAACACGAAAGAAUUUGCUAAAUGUUUCAUGUUAAUGCGAUUGCGUCGAUUAAGCGAUUGUUCGUGUUCAGGAAGGCUCGAAUAAUGAAUAUGCUAAUUGUAAUCACGGCGGCGCGCCGUGUUUUCUAGGAUACACGCACGUCCGCGCGUCAAUAAAUACGAAACUUUAUGGCGGAGGAAUGUUUUCAGGAUAUCAUAAAUUUGCCGGCAUUCAGCCGGUGACGCAAUUAUUCAAAAUAAUCGACCGUUUCGCUUCGAAGGCGGCUUCUUCUCGGUCGACUUGUGCGUCGCGGCGACAAACUUCUUAUUGCUCGGAAAUGUCGCGCGCGUCCAAAGUUUAAGAAAACUGCCACGAAGAGGAAAAAAAAAAGUAUAACUGUCGCCGCCGUCGCCGCGACGACGGUGAGAAAAAGUUUUCAACUGGGAACCAACAAGAGACCGGGUGGCAAAGUUUUGCAUAGUUAUUCCGGAUUAUUAAAUAACGUUACCCCACCUCGUAUACCCACGGUAAAUAGCGGCCACAAAUAGACCGGGCAAUAAAAAAAGCGGGUAUGACUAACUCGCGAUGUAUUUUCCUCCUUUAUGAACAACUUUACUCGGCACGUUUCAUCAUUACGUUAAUGCCGAUGGAAACUUUAUAUUAAGCGAGAGGGGGGAGAGGGAAACGCAUAAGCUCGUUGCGUCGCGAUGCAUUUGAAAUAUUUGUCGAGAUUGACAGCGGUGACGCGGGAAUCCGGAGCGGCGGCGGCGGCGCGAACGCUCCGAGCUCUCGUUAAAAGCGCUGCGCGAAACUUUUAUCGCGCGUUAAAUAACGAUCGGGAAGCUUUGUGUUAAUUAGCCGGGCGCGUAUUUUACAACUUUGCGGGAAGCACGACGUAGCGCGAGCGGAGGAUAAAAUUUAUCGCGAUGCGAUACAAGGUGCAAUCUUCCCCUGACGUUUUCGCCGCGCGCGAGCGCGAUGGUCGAAAAAUGCUGGAGGAGAAAGGCGGAGAUGUACUACUCCACGGCAAUUGAGUACUAAAUUGAACUCUACCUGGAAGUAAAAGAAAUCGAGGUGCAGUCGCCUCGUUUCGACUUUCACAUUGGGCAAUUCGAUUACGAGUUAUGAAAGCGAUUUGCACGGCGCGAUUCACCACACGUGCGUUCAACACCCACUUCUGUGUGUGUGUGUGUGUAUGUGUAAAAUAAAUUCGCGCCGCACCGUCGCGUGAGACUUUAAUUUUCGAGCAAAUAAAUUCGCGCGCGACCAUCACGUCGUAUACGGAAAACAACGUUGUCGUGUCAUACAAAUUCCAAAGCACAGUCAUACGUCUUAGGUAACGCAAACUUCUUGAUUUAGCGGUCUUUGCCAAGGUUACUUGCCUUACCUUUCCUUCAAAGGGAUUUCUCAGCACUUUGAAUACGUUUAUUUUACGUAGUAAAUUUACUUCUAAAAACUUACAUCUCUAACCUUUGACUUCGGCUACAUAUAGAUGUUCUAAGAUAAAGAUACUUCUAUUCCGAAAAGACAAACGAUAUAAGUUGUUAUCUGUAACGCGUAAAUCAAUAACAGCGUGGAAAAAGAAACAAAUUUAUGGUUAAAUAUUCCUAUUGAGGCAUAAAUAGCUUUCCACGUCGCAUUAUCAUAUUGUGACUCAUAUUAUCGUCGUACAUAAGAUAAUUUUCUAAAAUUAUAAAUGCGAUACUUGAAACGGCACGUAAUAUCAUUAGUAUUUCGAUAAAACGUACAACAUUAGUCCAACUCAUUAUGCAAUAUUAAAAACCUGAUGUUUACAAAAAACUUUGAACAAAAUAGAUAUAUAUUCAAAAAACCAUCAAAACAUGUUAAUUUUCUAUUAUUACACUUAUUGUUGCAAAUUGCGAGAUAUUAAUAAUGAAUAUUCGCAUUAUUUCUUUAUGAAAAAAUUAUACACGCGAUAAUUGUUUGCCGCGAUACGACUCUGGCAUUAUAUUUUCCUCCUCUUGCGAGCAUCUCGAAUAACACUCAUUUCUAAUUUGUGUUUCAAAUAGAGGAUGAUUUGUAAAUUGCGUGAAUUACGAAUACAAAAAAAAAACCAGAAUUAAACGAAUAUAGAGGAAACACAAAUGAAAUAAUGUGAAAAUGUACGAGCACCGCGCGCUCGUAUAGAUGCUCGAUACGGAUUUGCGUCAGUAGUCAAUUUUCGACGACGCGAUAAUUACGUUUCCCAUUUCGUGCCACUGUUCGCUCCACUUUUCACGCUGCGCUGACGCAAAAGUGCUUCUUUUCCAAGAAAACAAAUUAAAAAGAUUGGCAUCGGCGGGCAGCGCUGGCCCAAGUUAAUCGUAGAAGUAGGAAGCGAGCACAGAAUACGCCGUGCCUUAUCGCGCGAUAAGCGCACUCCAGACGCGCGCGCGCGCGCUUUUAUAUCCCGUAAGGUUCAUAAAUUAAACGUAGCCAGUUAACAUCGAAGAAACAAGAACGAGGAGUGGCUGCCAUGUUGGCAUAGGGGUCGGCGAGGAAUAAAUUUAAACACGUCUGUCUAGCACCUAAAUGCGUCUCGCGAAUUAUCGCUCGAUUUGCGGGGACGUCGUUAUUAUUAUUAUUAUUGCGCUACUCGCCGCAUUCGGAGAAGAGGAGAAGACGAUAGAGACCGAGUGGAGGGGGGAGAGGGCACUUUUUCCCGCCGCGUGCGAACGCGAUUUUUUUUUUUAAUCAUAAACGUACGAUAUUAAGAGCGGAAUGACGAUAAAUUUUUAUCGAGGGGAGAGGGGCUCGGCGUGAAAAGGUUCAACUUUAACGUGUUUCGUCGCCGGGCGAGCCUUAAAAUUAAACGCGCCUUCAUCCCGACUUCGCCUCUCACGAGCUCUCACGAGCGGACCGUGAAAGUUUUAUGAAUCCGGCGGAAUGGCUCUGCAAAUAGUUCGAAUGUAAAGGAUCGCGCGCGAGCGUCCUUCGUUAUAUCAAGCAUCGUUUAAAAUUAAUUCCGCGGAAAUCCGCGUCGCGCACGUUAAGAGCGAUGAUAAUCCGCGAUACGUAUUAUAUUCGCGGUCGGAGAAUAUUAAUUUCCGGGAUCGGCGGGGUUGAAUUAAUCCCUGUUGCGCAUCCGAGAGAGGGUGGGGGAGGGGGAAAGGGCAGCGGGGGAGAAUAGAGAUAGUUAAAUCGAUACAACAUUACGGGAGCAAUAAUGGGUUUCUAUCGUUUGCUGCCGCGUCGGAAUUUAGUACGACGAACAAGGAGCGAUCGGCGGCGGUCGGGGCUGUUGCGAGCCAGGCCACUUGCUCGCUCAUUCAAUGCGCUUACGUGGGUGGCUCGUUAUCAGCGCAAAUUACCUUUGCUCCUACGCGCUUAAUUUAGUUCCGAGCGUGCAAUAAUAAUGCUCGCAUGACGCGCGAAAUUGCUGUGGAUCGAUGAUAGCGACGAUUCGAGAUCAAAUCGGUGGGUUUCUGCCGGCGUGGCAGCGGCAGGAUCGCGAUAGGACGUUCAAUAGCGAUAUUGUCCUGCCCUUGUGUGCUCGGCAAACUCGGCAAUAAUGUAACGGAGAUCCAUUGUAAAACAGUCCAGCGACGGUUGCACCGUCGUCUUCCUAACCCCCGCCCCUCCUCGAGUGCUCAUAAAAAUUAGUUAGCGUUAUAAUUGCAGAACGAGAUACCCAACUUCGAUAAUCUGGAGUAACUUUUACAACUUUUAUUCUCUCCUCUGAUUAAAAUUCUUAAAUGCUCGUUGAACGCGAGUUUGAAUAGCGAAUACGAUAUCGGUAAUAAAAUAUCGUUAGCAUGAAGCCGUGCAACAUUCGUGCAGUAGUUUUUCUAAAUAAAAAAAAAAAAAAAUUGCAGACUACUUCAGUAUACCACUUUCAGAUGUUCUUCAUAUAAUUCACGUUUCUCCUUUAUUAUAUCAACGCUAUCACGAUAUCACGUAGAAAAGUCUUGAAAUCAUUUCCAUCAUACGAGCAUGAGCAAUUAAACACGCAGUGGCGUAUAAAAAAAGAGUUCAACGGAGUAAUAAUACCGCAUGGAAAAUAUUGUCACGGGUAAUCGCGAGCAAACACAGAUUUUUCAAAUGUUUAACGAAGGCUUAUCGCGACAGCGUGUACAGAGAGAGAGAGUGUGUGUAUGUGUGUGUAUAUGUGUGUGUCUUUGUUUAAUCGCUACGCGAAAAACGCUACGCGGUACAUAUACUUCGAACACGGACCAGGUGCGUAUUCCUGAUGGUAUCGGCUCGGAAACACGCCACGCGGCGCCGUACUGCGUACAAUCAGCACCGUAAUAAAUUACGUUCCGCGUAUGUUCCUCGCGUAGAUCCUCAACGACAGGAAACCAAAAAGAGAUAUAAGGCGCGUCUGAAAAAGAUGUCCGUCGACACGUACGUGGGAAAGACUAUCGUUGUCGACGUUAAGGAAGGGAAAAGGGGAAGAACCGAAAGAAUGAAACGAAGAUAGGUCCUUCGGUACUCCGUAAAUACAUUGAUCUGCAUUCGGCAUAAAAUACCUUUGAUUUCGAUUAAAACACAAUCGCAAAUUUAUGCAAUUUAAUUACAUUUGCGAAAUACAAAUAGGAAAUGCCAAAAUCACAUCGAAUCGUACGGGCGGGAGCGAUAAGUUUAUUAAUUAAUCAAGAUGUAUAAAUAUAGCUCUUAAUUAACACCGAACGGGAUGAUACUAUUGAUUCAAUUUUGAUUAAAAAAGAAAAAAAAGAGAGAGUAUCGGUAUCAUUAAAUUUGCAGCGAUUGCGCUGAUAAUUGAGGAGAAAUAAUUUACGAAUGAAUAAAUUACGGCCUCGCGGCGGACGCGCGCGUUCACCGACUGUCGAUUUGUACCAGAGUUUUGGAACAAGUGAAAACUAUAAUUAGCCCAUUACCCAAUACUGAAUACGUUGAAAAUGAUCCAAGGCUUCGACAAAAAUAUCGUGCCGGUCGCCGACUGAGCUCUAUUCGAAGCGGACGAGUCCCGCGAUUGACGCUCACGCGGGAUUUAUAAACUUCGAGGAUUCUCUUACCGCGGGGGGGGGGGA